rnacentral:rRNA from 1 species
GACGAACGCUGGCGGCGUGCUUAACACAUGCAAGUCGAACGGAAAGGCCCUGCUUUUGUGGGGUGCUCGAGUGGCGAACGGGUGAGUAACACGUGAGUAGCCUGCCCUUGACUUUGGGAUAACUUCAGGAAACUGGGGCUAAUACCGGAUAGGAGCUCCUGCUGCAUGGUGGGGGUUGGAAAGUUUCGGCGGUUGGGGAUGGACUCGCGGCUUAUCAGCUUGUUGGUGGGGUAGUGGCUUACCAAGGCUUUGACGGGUAGCCGGCCUGAGAGGGUGACCGGCCACAUUGGGACUGAGAUACGGCCCAGACUCCUACGGGAGGCAGCAGUGGGGAAUAUUGCACAAUGGGCGGAAGCCUGAUGCAGCAACGCCGCGUGCGGGAUGACGGCCUUCGGGUUGUAAACCGCUUUCGCCUGUGACGAAGCGUGAGUGACGGUAAUGGGUAAAGAAGCACCGGCUAACUCUGUG